rnacentral:rRNA from 1 species
CGUGAGGAACCUGCCUUUCAGAGGGGGGACAACAGUUGGAAACGACUGCUAAUACCGCAUAAUAUAUGUUUGUCGCAUGGCAGAUAUAUCAAAGAUUUAUCGCUGAGAGAUGGCCUCGCGUCUGAUUAGCUAGUUGGUAGGGUAACGGCCUACCAAGGCGACGAUCAGUAGCCGGACUGAGAGGUUGGCCGGCCACAUUGGGACUGAGAUACGGCCCAGACUCCUACGGAAGGCAGCAG